CUGUACCAUCUUGGGCAAAGACCAAUCAAGACACAUUACAGGUUAUGCUCCGGAAGAUGGAGAUAUUGGAGGAGAACCAGCGAGAGGUUCUUCUAUUCAGGCGACUACAGGGCAGACACUGAAGAGGUGCCAGUGAUGGACCUACAGGCAGCCUAAACACAGACUGAACUCCAAGACCUUGAGGAGCGCCUUAAGGUGCUGGAGUUCCGAAAGAGAGUGAUGCUGUGAUAAAGUGGAAGACGGGACUGGGAGAGAAGGCUGUGGAGCUCAUCAUAGCGGAGACACUCAAACACGCCCCAGCAGCCCAUUCAAAACAAGCCAGGGCCAACAGACAGGACUGUAUCGGGGACUGGCAGAAGAUUUUAAUACACUGUUUGGCACUUUGUUUGAAAUAAAAUGACUGAAUGUUACAUG